rnacentral:rRNA from 1 species
UGAAACUGCGAAUGGCUCAUUAAAUCAGUUAUUGUUUACUUGAUUGUACAAUGCUUACAUGGAUAUCUGUGGUAAUUCUAGAGCUAAUACAUGCGAAAGGUCCCGACCUCUGGAAGGGAUGUAUUUAUCAGCUUUAAAACCAAUGGAGUCCUUGUGGCUCGCAUUAGUGAUGAAUCAUGAUAACUGUUCGAAUCGCAGGGUCUUGCACCGGCGAUGUUUCUUUCAAAUUUCUGCCCUAUCAACUGUCGAUGGUACGGUAGUGGCGUACCAUGGUUGUAACGGGUAACGGAGAAUCAGGGUUCGGUUCCGGAGAGGGAGCCUGAGAAACAGCGUAUAUUAAAGUUGUUGCA